AGGGCGUAUGGUGGAUGCCUAGGCAUUAGAAGACGAAGAAGGACGCGACAAACAGCGAAAUUGCCUCGGGGAGUUGUAAGUAAACAUUGAUCCGGGGGUAUCCGAAUGAGGAAACUUACCAAGAAAGGUAUCCUAAAAUGAAUACAUAGUUUUAGUGAAGGAAACCCUGUGAACUGAAACAUCUUAGUAACAGGAGGAAAAGAAAGAAAAAUCGAUUGCCUUAGUAGUGGCGAGCGAAACGGCAAUAGCCCAAACCAAUCUACGGAUUGGGGUAGUAGGACACUUCGAAACGAGGAUAAGAGCUAAAGAUAGCUAAAUGAUUUGGGAAAGUCAGUCAAAGAAGGUGAAAACCCUGUAGGCGAAAUCUGAAGCACUCAGAAGUGAAUCCUGAGUACGGCGGGACACGAGAAAUCUUGUCGGAAUCAACGGGGACCAUCCCGUAAGGCUAAAUACUCUCUAAUGACCGAUAGUGAACAAGUACCGUGAGGGAAAGGUGAAAAGAACCCCGGGAGGGGAGUGAAAUAGAGAAUCUGAAACCAUAUGCUUACAAAAAGUUCGAGCCCGUUAAAGGGUGAGAGCGUGCCUUUUGCAGAAUGAGCCGGCGAGUUAUGGUAUUGUGCAAGGUUAAGUAGAAAAUACGGAGCCGAAGCGAAAGCGAGUCUUAAAAGGGCGAAAAAGUACAAUGCUGUAGACCCGAAACUGAGUGAUCUAGCCAUGAGCAGGUUGAAGUGUAGGUAACACUACAUGGAGGACCGAACCAGGGUACUAUGUAACGUGCUUGGAUGACUUGUGGUUAGCGGUGAAAUUCCAAUCGAACUCAGAGAUAGCUGGUUCUCCCCGAAAUAGGUUUAGGCCUAGCCUUGAAGAAUUUCCUCUGGAGGUAGAGCACUGAAUGUGGAAUGGCCGCGUCUAGCGGUACUGACUGCAAUCAACCUCCGAAUGCCAGAGUAGUUAGCUUCAGGAGUCAGUUUAUGGGUGAUAACGUCCAUAUGCGAGAGAAAAACAAUUCAGACCACCAGUUAAGGUCCCAAAAUAUAUGUUAAGUGGGAAAGGAUGUGGAGUUGCACGAACAGCUAGGAGGUUGGCUCAGAAGCAGCCAUCCUUUAAAGAGUGCGUAAUAGCUCACUAGUCGAGUGGCUCUGCGCCGAAAAUGUACCGGGGCUAAACAUAUUACCGAAACUGUGGAUUUAUGCGAUAGCAUAAGUGGUAGGGGAGCGUUCUAAGGGCGACGAAGAUAGAUCGAGAGGACUAUUGGAGCGCUUAGAAGUGAGAAUGCCGGUGUGAGUAACGUAAGGUAGGUGAGAAUCCUACCCACUGAUUGACCAAGGAUUCCAGGGUCAAGUUCGUCUACCCUGGGUAAGUCAGGACCUAAGGCGAGGCUGAGAAGCGUAGUCGAUGGACAACAGGUUUAUAUUCCUGUACUAUUUAUAGGACUGAAGGAGUGACAAAGGAAGCUAGUAAGAGCCAUUUAAUGGAUUAUGGUCUAAGCACAAAGACUGAUACAUAGGAAAAUCCGUGAUAUCGAACGGUUGAAGUGUGAUGGCGAAGCAGUCUACGGACAGCGAAGUCUUAUGAGGCUAAACUUUUUAAAAAAGCUUCUAAAGAAAUGCUAUAAAUACCUGUACUAAGAACCAACGCAGGUGGUCAAGGAGAGAAUCCUAAGGUGAGCGAGAGAACUAUGGUUAAGGAACUCGGCACAAUGAUCCCGUAACUUCGGAAUAAGGGAAGGUCUUGAAAAAGACCCGCAGUGAAUAGGCCCAAGCGACUGUUUACCAAAAACACAGGUUUCUGCAAAAGCGUAAGCUGAAGUAUAGGAGCUGACGCCUGCCCAGUGCUGGAAGGUUAAGAUGAUUUGUAAGAUGGACGAAAGUCGAUAACAUCGAAGCAAUGAAUUGAAGCCCCAGUGAACGGCGGCGAUAACUAUAAUCGUCCAAAGGUAGCGAAAUUCCUUGUCAGGUAAGUUCUGACCCGCACGAAAGGCGUAACGAUUUGGGCACUGUCUCAACCAUAGACUCGGUGAAAUCUUAAUACCUGUGAAAAUGCAGGUUACCAGCGACAGGACGGAAAGACCCCAUGGAGCUUUACUGUAGCUUGAUAUUGAAAUCAGGUAGU
rnacentral:rRNA from 1 species